AAGCGCCGCUUUGCCGGUGUUAACGCCGGAGAGCCUCCCGCUGGAACUGCCCCCCCCGCAGAGCAGCCGUGCGCCCUGCCCCGGCGUUGUUCAGCGCAUCAGCUGAUACCAUGUCCCGCAAUUCGACGUUUUUGUUUCUUGACAACUUCAUGCAUCUUUUUAGCAGGUUUUGUUUUGGACAGAGGUUUUGCGCGUAUUUACAGAAUUCAGUGCGAUGCGUAAUAUUCAGACGCGUUGUGAAUAAGCAGAAUUUGUUAGCUUGUUAAAAUUAAGUGAUUCCCAGUAAGCACAGGGUAUAAUCCUAUACUUAGGCUUCUGGCUCUCAUUUAUUUCGCAGCACAACUUUUUGUCUUGGACACACACUUCAGCGCUACAAAUUAAUCUUUGAGUUUAGGAAGCCAAGUGUCUCCGAGCUUUUUGACAGAAAACAGCGAACAGUGUUGUAUUGACCACCUUCAUGCUAUUUCUGACAAAAGCACUACUGCAGGAUGCUCUCCAGAAACCCAAGAAACAGAAAACCAUGCUCUUCUCCACACUAUUUCCCUUAUCAGCACAUCGCGUGGUGUGUACGCAGUGUCUCGGUGCAGCCGGCAAACUGCUCCAGGCUGUAAGGAUUUCCUUCGGGAGGGAAGAUCAGUGGCACAGACUCUGCCCAGCCCUUGAAAGUGGUGUGGACAAAGACUGGGUUUGCAACAAAGACAAGGAACCACUCCUACCCCACAGACUGGGGCUGAGCCAGCAGGGCCCAGUGUGCUGUCAGGACUGUGUUGGGACAAAUUGGUGAUGCAGGUGAGUUGCUGAGGUGGUGUAUCAGUGUCAGAAGAGUAGGAGAUAACUGUGCACACAAG
rnacentral:lncRNA from 1 species